GCAAAUGGAUGGGCCAGGAAUGAGAGAGAACGUGUGAAUGUUGGUGCUCAGCUGGCUUUCUGUUUUCCUCAGAGUGCCCCCACCCACCGAUUUAAAACCCUGUAAGUACCUUCACAGAUAAACCUUAAGUUGAUCCUCACUCACUCACUAAUGACCUAGGGUAUCUUAAUCUAAUAGGAUGGCAAAAUUAAUCAUCAGGAAUUGUACUAUUUUUUUUUUUAGCUUACUUACUGUUAAAUUUUCCUUAGUAAUGUUGCUGUUUAUCAUAUUUAAUACAAGCUUUUUUUUUUUAUAAUCAUUCUGUGUAUACUUUGGGGCAAGCUUGCAGUGGGUCCAGUAUUGUCUAAAUAUCAAAUCUCAUUAGACCUGGACUCACUAAUUGAGCCAACUGGAUUGAAUUUGAUCCAUCAGUCAAAUUGCUGCUGAAAAAUUGCAUGAUGGUGCUGGGUUUAGCUUUAUGAGGAAACAGAAUUCAGGGUGUGAACUCACUGUUGCUUUUCUAUGCUCAGAACAUUAACCAGGUUGUAUUUGUCGGCAAUUUCCUGAGAGUCAACACAAUCGCCAUGCGGCUUCUGGCGUAUGCUCUGGAUUACUGGUCCAAGGGGCAGCUCAAAGCACUGUUUUCAGAGCACGAGGGUUAUUUUGGAGCUGUUGGCGCACUCCUUGAGCUGUUGAAGAUACCCUGACUUACCCAGAGGACUUCCUGACAUCUGUGGAUAUAUAUAUAUUUUUUAAGAGACUCAAGUUUUAUGAUCGUGUACUAUUCAAAUCAGAGCAAGAAACAAAUGUAUUUUUCUAAGACAUCAAGAUAAAUUCUUAAAGUUUUG
rnacentral:lncRNA from 1 species